UUUCACUUCAUAGAGAGAAAUGUAUUCCCACUAGUUCUUGUUGCUUCCUUGGACUUACGCUGAUUUGGUGGAGCCUUGCUGUUUCUGCUACUGAUUCGUGUUUGGUGUUUGCUGUUGGACUGGACUGCUGAUAUCCUGACAAGGAAGAUUGGAAUUGCCUCAAUCCAAUUUACUACUUCUAAACAGUCGUCUACCCAAGACUCCCGAACGCCAAGAACUGAAAAGUACCUGCUAAUGAGCAUAAAAUUCCUCACCUGGGAAAUGAGCGUGCCUUGGGAUUCGCUCCACACCCUUCAGCGCUGUUUGACUUCUCCCUGCCUUAAUUGUAAGAGGAACAGCACUUUCCAUCUCUCACAGGUAGCUUGGAGCCUUCAAACCUAGGCUGAAGACCAGAAGCUCUCCAGGAAUCUUCCAGGCCUUCAGCAUCCAACUGUGAUGGUCCAGGUACCUAGCCUCACGAACUGAACAGCUACAGGGGUCUCAGUUCUCCAGUAUGAAGACAGCCAUUGUUGGACAACCCAGACCAUUUCCUGUAAGCCAAUCUAAUAAACCCCCUUUUAAUGUGUA